rnacentral:tRNA from 1 species
GGUUGUGGCUCAGUGGUAGAGUGCUUGCCUAGCACACACAGGGCCUUGGGUUCGAUCCUCAACACCA